rnacentral:snRNA from 1 species
UUACUAUGGCUGCAGAUAUACUAAAAUUGGAAAGAUACAGAGAAGAUUAGCAUGGCCCCU